rnacentral:rRNA from 1 species
UCCGUAGGUGAACCUGCGGAGGGAUCAUUACACAAUA